rnacentral:rRNA from 1 species
AGAAUCAACGCUGGCGGCGUGCCUAACACAUGCAAGUCGAACGAGAAAGGGACUUCGGUCCUGAGUACAGUGGCGCACGGGUGAGUAACACGUGACUAACCUACCCUUGAGUGGGGGAUAACCUAGGGAAACCUGGGCUAAUACCGCAUAAUACCUACGGGUCAAAGGAGCAAUUCGCUUAAGGAGGGGUCGCGGCAGAUUAGUUAGUUGGCGGGGUAAUGGCCCACCAAGACAGUGAUCUGUA